GUUUACUAUAGACAUCCAAGGCCUGCAAAUCGGAACUCUUCCUCCGCCCUCAUCCAGGCUAGCCGGAUCACUCAUGCUGCCUGGGAUGCCUAAUUCCUUGGAAAGAAUGAUGGGAGAAGCAGCUGUCCCACAGCAUGAAAGAAUUCCUACACGAUGCUGCGUUUUGGUCCCACGUCUGAGCCUGUGGCUGGGCCACUAGCAAUUUGUGCGGAUCAGCCUCCCCAUCGCCUUGGCAGCACUUGAUGUUAUUUCAAAAAACAAACCACAGCGAGGCACCUGGCAUGCAAGAGGUACACGAUAUUCAUGUGAACAAGACACUCAAAUAUACACAAUUUAAAAAUAAUAAGAGAGAUCUUUGAACAGGCAAACAAAAAGAAAAAAUAAAGGAGAAACGAAGAAAAAAAAGUUAGAAGGUACCAAGUGGCUCUACCUCAGAUAGCAAGACCAGUAAAGAUGCCCAGUGGAGGGGACACCACCUGGAGGGACAGGCUGGCUGAAGAACAA